rnacentral:rRNA from 1 species
GACAGAGGGUGCAAACGUUGUUCGGAAUUACUGGGCGUAAAGCGCGUGUAGGCUGCUUCGCAAGUCGGAUGUGGAAGCCCUGGGCUCAACCUAGGAAGUGCAUUCGAAACUGCGAAGCUUGAGUCCUGGAGAGGAAGGCGGAAUUCUCGGUGUAGAGGUGAAAUUCGUAGAUAUCGAGAGGAACACCGGUGGCGAAGGCGGCCUUCUGGACAGUGACUGACGCUGAGACGCGAAAGCGUGGGGAGCAAACAGG